AUCUGGCUUCAACAGCAGGACAUGAGCGGAGAACGAGCCAUGUUUAUGGACGAGGUAGUAAUCGCCGGCAUCGUGAUCGUCGUACUGACGGCCGGCUUCCUGGGUGGAUUUGGAUAUUUCGUCUGGAAGGACGCACAGAAAGGCAGCAAGAAGUAGAGAUCCUUCCCGACUCACGAGCACGCAAGGCAUUUGGGGCGACUUCGGUCGCCCGUUUUUUUU
rnacentral:sRNA from 1 species